rnacentral:rRNA from 1 species
UAGGGAAUCUUCGGCAAUGGACGAAAGUCUGACCGAGCAACGCCGCGUGAGUGAAGAAGGUUUUCGGAUCGUAAAACUCUGUUGUUAGAGAAGAACAAGGACGUUAGUAACUGAACGUCCCCUGACGGUAUCUAACCAGAAAGCCACGGCUAACUACGUGCCAGCAGCCGCGGUAAUACGUAGGUGGCAAGCGUUGUCCGGAUUUAUUGGGCGUAAAGCGAGCGCAGGCGGUUUCUUAAGUCUGAUGUGAAAGCCCCCGGCUCAACCGGGGAGGGUCAUUGGAAACUGGGAGACUUGAGUGCAGAAGAGGAGAGUGGAAUUCCAUGUGUAGCGGUGAAAUGCGUAGAUAUAUGGGGGAACACCAGUGGCGAAGGCGGCUCUCUGGUCUGUAACUGACGCUGAGGCUUGAAAGCGUGGGGAGCAAACAGG